rnacentral:rRNA from 1 species
GGGGAUUGGGAUCUGCCCCUGGGUAGACCUCCCACCCUGUGUCGUUGUACCUUUGUUGCUUUGGCGGGCCGCGGGGCCCCGGCCCUGCCCCUGGCUCCGGCUAGGGCGCGCCCGCCAGAGGACCUCAAAACCUGAAUGUUAGUGUCGUCUGAGUGCUAUAUAAUAGUUAAAACUUUCAACAACGGAUCUCUUGGUUCUGGCAUCGAUGAAGAACGCAGCGAAAUGCGAUAAGUAAUGUGAAUUGCAGAAUUCAGUGAAUCAUCGAAUCUUUGAACGCACAUUGCGCCCCUUGGUAUUCCGGGGGGCAUGCCUGUUCGAGCGUCAUUACAACCCUCAAGCUCUGCUUGGUCUUGGGCGUCACCGGUCCCGGUGUGCCUUAAAAUCAGUGGCGGCGCCAUCUGGCUCUAAGCGUAGUACAUCUUCUCGCUACAGACGCCCGGUGGAUGCUGGCCAGCAACCCCCCAUCUUACAAGGUUGACCUCGGAUCAGGUAGGGAUACCCGCUGAACUUAAGCAUAUCAAUAAGCGGAGGAAUCAUUACGGAGACUCUCCCCUGGGUAAACCUCCACCCUGUGUCGUUGUACUUUGUUGCUUUGGCGGGCGGGGGCGGCCUGCCCUGGCUCGGCUAGGGCGGCCGCAGAGACUCAAACUGAAAUGUUAGUGUCGUCUGAGUGCUAUAUAAUAGUUAAAACUUUCACAACGGAUCUCUUGGUUCUGGCAUCAUGAAGAACGCAGCGCAAUGCAUAAGUAAUGUGAAAUUGCGAAAUUCAUGGAAAUCAUCUAAUUCUUUGA